GAUGAACGCUGGCGGCGUGCCUAAUACAUGCAAGUAGAACGCUGAAGGAAGGAGCUUGCUCUUUCCGUAUGAGUUGCGAACGGGUGAGUAACGCGUAGGUAACCUGCCUGGUAGCGGGGGAUAACUAUUGGAAACGAUAGCUAAUACCGCAUAACAUUAUAUGUUGCAUGAUAUCUACUUAAAAGGUGCAAUUGCACCACUACCAGAUGGACCUGCGUUGUAUUAGGUAGUUGGUUAGGUAACCGCUCAACAAGGCGACGAUACAUAACCGACCUGAGAGGGUGGUCGGCCACACCGGGACUGGGACACGGCCCAGACCCCUAAGGGAGGCAGCCGUAGGGGAACCUUCGGAAAGGAGGGAAGUCUUAACGGGCAACGGCGGGGGAGUUGAGGAGGGUUUCGAAUCGUAAAGACUCGUUGUAAGAGAAGAACGAGUGUGAGAGUGGAAAGUUCACACUGUGACGGUAUCUUACCAGAAAGGGACGGCUAACUACGUG
rnacentral:rRNA from 1 species